rnacentral:tRNA from 1 species
GUAGGUGAAGCUCAGUGGUAGAGCACAUGCUUUGAAAGUAUAAGGCCCUGGGUUCAAUCCUCAGCACCAAAA